rnacentral:lncRNA from 1 species
CGCUUGAUUGUAUUCUUGACUGAUUCAAUUGAUAACGAGAGAUAAAGGUACCCCGACCAUGCCCAAAGGGGUUUAAUAACUAGUAGUGGCGUGCUGAACUGAAAAGUACGGUGAAGCUUUCGGAGCGUAGUGAGGUGAGCCAGUGCCUGUUGGUGGUCAAGUCCCAGUGGAAGUGGAAGUUGUUGGGCGUUCAGGUUGCAAAGGAAGUUGGUGGGCUAACGGUGGUCCAGGUAAGGUAGGUGGGGAAGGCUCGCCACGAGAUCGACCGAUAGCUUUGACCCAACCCCGGAAGCGGAAGUGCCAGAGAGACGAUCUUUGUGAGGCAGAGUGACAUUCCAAGGUCAGGUAUAAGGUGCUACGGGAACGAUGUCUCAAAGGUCAGUGCCAAGGGCUCAACGCGGAAGCAAUCCGCUGCUCACAGGGACCGUGCGGGCUGACGCUCUUCUCUCUCAGGCAAAGAAAUGUGAUUUUCACUUUCGCUGGUUCAAGGUAGGCUGCUUAAGCAGAGGUUGUUGUUGUUGUUGGCGUGAGUGAAGGCGUUCCUUCCGGUGGGCAUGACGAAGCUAAGCUGGAACUAAUUACGAAAGCAUAAUCGUUUUCAAGGCUAGGGAGUGAAUUCAACUUUAGACAAGUCUAGCAAAGCAGCUCAUCUGGUAACACGG